rnacentral:hammerhead_ribozyme from 1 species
AUCCAUCUGACGAGUCCCAAAUGGCACAAAACGUGCGUCCUGGAU